rnacentral:misc_RNA from 1 species
GAUGAAGAACGUAGCGAAAUGCGAUAAGUAAUGUGAAUUGCAGAUUUCAGUGAAUCAUCGAAUCUUUGAACGCACAUUGCGCCCGCCAGUAUUCUGGCGGGCAUGCCUGUUCGAGCGUCAUUACAACCCUCAGGCCCCCGGGCCUGGCGUUGGGGAUCGGCGAGGCGCCCCCCGCAGGCACGCGCCGUCCCCCAAAUACAGUGGCGGUCCCGCCGCAGCUUCCAUUGCGUAGUAGCUAACACCUCGCAACUGGAGAGCGGCGCGGCCAUGCCGUAAAACACCCAACUUCUGAAUGUUGACCUCGAAUCAGGUAGGAAUACCCGCUGAACUUAAGCAUAUCAAUAAGCGGAGGA